UGCACCUACGGGGCGCAGCAGUGAGGAAUAUUGGUCAAUGGGCGAGAGCCUGAACCAGCCAAGUCGCGUGAGGGAAGACGGUCCUAUGGAUUGUAAACCUCUUUUGCCGGGGAGCAAAAAGUGGUACGUGUACCGCAUCGAGAGUACCCGGAGAAAAAGCAUCGGCUAACUCCGUGCCAGCAGCCGCGGUAAUACGUAGGGUGCGAGCGUUAAUCGGAAUUACUGGGCGUAAAGGGUGCGCAGGCGGUUGAGUAAG
rnacentral:rRNA from 1 species